rnacentral:rRNA from 1 species
GACGAACGCUGGCGGCGUGCUUAACACAUGCAAGUCGAACGAAGCUUGAUUACGGAUUCUUCGGAUGAAGUAUGAUAUGACUGAGUGGCGGACGGGUGAGUAACGCGUGAGUAACCUGCCCUUCAGAGGGGGAUAGCGUUUGGAAACGAACGGUAAUACCGCAUAAUGUAUUUUGACCGCAUGAUCGAAAUACCAAAGAUUUGUCGCUGAAGGAUGGACUCGCGUCUGAUUAGGUAGUUGGUGGGGUAACGGCCUACCAAGCCGACGAUCAGUAGCCGGACUGAGAGGUUGAUCGGCCACAUUGGGACUGAGACACGGCCCAGACUCCUACGGGAGGCAGCAGUGGGGAAUAUUGCACAAUGGGCGCAAGCCUGAUGCAGCAACGCCGCGUGAAGGAAGACGGUUUUCGGAGUGUAAACUUCUGUUCUUAGUGAAGAAUAAUGACGGUAGCUAAGGAGCAAGCCACGGCUAACUACGUG